AACUUUUGUGUCUAGCUAAAGGAUUGUAAAUGCACCAAUCAGCACUCUGUGUCUAGCUCAAGGUUUGUACAUGCACCAAUUAGCACCCUGUCAAAACGGACCAAUCAGCUCUCUGUAAAAUGGACCAAUCAGCAGGAUGUGAGUAGGGCCAGAGAAGGGAAUAAAAGCAGGCUGAGCGAGCUAGCACGUAACUUGUUGGAGUCUGUUUCUGUGGUGAGGGGGCUGCCGGUGGUUUGUUCUUUCAACUAAAUCCUGUUGUUGCUAGCCGUUUGGGUCUAUACUGCGCUUAUGAACUGCAACACUCCCCGUGAAAGUCUGCAGCUUUACUCAUCAAGCCAAUGAGACUGUGAAUCUGCUAGAAGGAACGGACAACUCCAGCUGCACUGCCUUAGAGAGCUUGUAACACCGCAAAGGUCUGCAGCUUCACUGCUGAGCAUCUGAAAAACCUCUUGCACAUGGACAAACAUUUAUUGGAGGAAUGAAGACAAAGUUGGAGACUGCCUGUAGCUCCAUGACACCUUGUCUGACAAACUAGUCAGCUCUCCUUGGACUUAGCCGUGGGAAGGCUCUCAGAUGGUGGCAAGAAACUCAAUUGCAGCCUGGAAUGGAAGCCUGCAUUGUGAUUUUUCCACCA
rnacentral:lncRNA from 10 species